rnacentral:rRNA from 1 species
GAGGGGGGGCAAGCGCUGUUCGGAAUUACUGGGCGUAAAGGGCUCGUAGGCGGCCAACUAAGUCAGACGUGAAAUCCCUCGGCUUAACCGGGGAACUGCAUCUGAUACUGGAUGGCUUGAGAUUGGGAGAGGGAUGCGGAAUUCCAGGUGUAGCGGUGAAAUGCGUAGAUAUCUGGAGGAACACCGGUGGCGAAGGCGGCAUCCUGGACCAACACUGACGCUGAGGAGCGAAAGCCAGGGGAGCAAACGGGAUUAGAUACCCCGGUAGUCCUGGCCCUAAACGAUGAAUGCUUGGUGUGGCGGGUAUCGAUCCCUGCCGUGCCGAAGCUAACGCAUUAAGCAUUCCGCCUGGGGAGUACGGGCGCAAGGCUG